AUGCAAGUCGUACGAGAAAGUGGAGCAAUCCAUGAGUACAGUGGCGACCGGGUGAGUAACACGUGACUAACCUACCUUCGAGUGGGGGAUAACUCCGGGAAACCGGGGCUAAUACCGCAUAACAUCUUCGGAUCGAAAGCUCUGAAGCUCAAAGCAGCAAUGCGCUGGAAGAGGGGGUCGCGGCUGAUUAGCUAGUUGGCGGGGUAACGGCCCACCAAGGCGAAGAUCGGUAUCCGGCCUGAGAGGGCGCACGGACACACUGGAACUGAAACACGGUCCAGACUCCUACGGGAGGCAGCAGUGGGGAAUUUUGCGCAAUGGGGGAAACCCUGACGCAGCAACGCCGCGUGGAGGAUGAAGUCCCUUGGGACGUAAACUCCUUUCGACCAAGACGAUAAUGACGGUACUGGUGGAAGAAGCACCGGCUAACUCUGUGCCAGCAGCCGCGGUAAUACAGAGGGUGCGAGCGUUGUUCGGAAUUAUUGGGCGUAAAGGGUGCGUAGGCGGCGCGGUAAGUCACCUGUGAAAUCUCUGGGCUUAACUCAGAGCCUGCAGGCGAAACUGCCGUGCUGGAGUAUGGGAGAGGUGCGUGGAAUUCCCGGUGUAGCG
rnacentral:rRNA from 1 species